UACAGAGGUCCCGAGCGUUGUUCGGAUUCACUGGGCGUAAAGGGCGCGUAGGCGGGAUGGCAAGUCAGUCGUGAAAUCUCUCGGCUCAACCGAGAAACGUCGGCUGAUACUGCCGUUCUUGAGGGAUGCAGAGGAGACUGGAAUUCCCGGUGUAGCGGUGAAAUGUGUAGAGAUCGGGAGGAACACCGGUGGCGAAGGCGGGUCUCUGGGCAUCUCCUGACGCUGAGGCGCGAAAGCGUGGGGAGCAAACGGG
rnacentral:rRNA from 1 species